GUUUUUCGCUUGAAGAUGAGUCCAUGCGAGAUUAGCUAGUUGGUGGGGUAAUGGCCUACCAAGGCGACGAUCUCUAACUGGUCUUAGAGGAUGAUCAGUCACACUGGAACUGAGACACGGUCCGGACUCCUACGGGAGGCAGCAGUAGGGAAUAUUGCGCAAUGGGGGAAACCCUGACGCAGCGACGCCGCGUGAGUGAUGAAGGCCUUCGGGUCGUAAAGCUCUGUCGUAUGGGAAUAACAUAAUG
rnacentral:rRNA from 1 species